rnacentral:sRNA from 1 species
UUUAAUUAUCAUUUGUAUUAUGAGUUAAUCAUAUAUGCAAAAUCAGAUCAAUUUAUUAUAAAAAGCUACACAAAAGACACAAUCGGUCAUUACUUUUCUAGGAAUAGUGUAUUCUCUUGUCCGCUAUAUGCCACCGGACGUACAAACCUUUUUUAGUAUUCAAACAGUUUUUGCUAAUUUGUAUUUUAACUAAAGUUAACAUUGUAUACUGAUAAUACUCGCCUUUUGGAUUGUUCCCUAAUUUGUGUUCGUUCCAGCUAUUUUGUGAUCGUUACAGGUGUCUUGUGCCCGUCUUAUAUUAACAUGUAAAAUAAAUAAAUGUAUUAAUAAAAUACUUAUACCUUAACAUAAUAGACAAAGACUGGCCUCUAAAUGGCUAGAUUCCCCAGCAUAAGCAUUUUAUACAUUUAAAUCGCUUGCUAGUUUGUGUUCGUUUCAACUGUCUUGUGCUCGUCUUAUAUUUAUAUGUUUCUAACAAAGAUGCAUCCGAAUAAUUUAUAAACACAACUUAAAAUGCAACGGCUGAUAGUGGAUCUUUAGGACUUAACGACUUUGGCUCUAAUUGUUUAGAUUCAUCGGCAAAAAAUCAAAAUCAUUCCACGAUAAACGAUUCAUUUCAAUCGCUUAAUACUAAUUGUCCAGAUUCCACUCAAGGAUUCGAUUCCAGUUAUGCUCCGGAUAUAACUAACCGGUCCAGCAUUUUAAAUAAUUCCAACAUUAAACAAGUUUUUUCUUACACAACUGAAACUCCACUAAGUGAUGUAAGGGAUUUAAUUAUUCCAACUGCGAAAACCCAAACAAAUUGUAAGAAACAUUUUGCUUAUUUUGCAAUAAAUUGCAAACAAAAUUUGUUUGUCACUUGCAGAUUGUUCAUAAAAAUGAGCGGCAAGUACAAAAAUUUUUGUUCCUGUCGAAAAAUGACAAAACUCGCAGAUUACUUAUUGAUGAGAUUCGGAAAAAUGGUGAUUAUAUCCAUAAUAUCGAUGCAUCGUUAAAUAACGGAACUCUAAUCGUGCCCCGUCAAAAGCGUGUAAACUCUAAAAACGAAGCGGUUGAUUUCAUAUGUUGCAAGGGAUGUUCCGGAUUUUUCCCCAAAAGCACAAUACGGAGUCAUAUUAAUAAUUGCAAAGGCAGCGAUCAUAAGAAAGGAACUCGUGACUUGCUUAAACAAGGUCGCUCCAAAACCGGCUUCAUGCAUAAAAGUGCAAAUGACGUUGUACGCACAAAAAUAAUGUUUUAAAUGAUGAUCCUAUUUCUAGAAAUCUUAUAUAUGACGAAUUGAUUGUUUUAUUCGCAAACGCAGAAUCUAUGAAGCACGGCGAACUUCAGUACGAUAUGAUCAGAGCAAACAUGAGAUUGCUCAGCAGACUAUUACAUGAAAUAAAAAAAUCAGAAUUUAAUGAGAUACAGGAACUUAAAGACGCCAUCAAUCCCAAACAUUUGGAUUUGAUGAUAUCUUGUAUCAGAAA